CCCCACCGUCAGUCUCCCCACUGCCUGUCUGUCUGUCAGUCUCCCCACUGUCUGUCUGUCUUGUCAGUCUCCCCACUGCCUGUUAGUCUACCUGUAUUUCAAUCUCAUGUCAUGGAGUAGCCUGCCUAGCGGACCAUGUCGAUGCUUUCCUCCAAGCCACGCGUGUCACUCAAUGACAUAAAGGUGGUCUAUGAGCAGCUGCUCAGUGCGGUUUCCCCUUAAUCUCCAUACUAUCUCUUUAUAUGACCUCCAUGCCCUUUCGAUGUGCUGGGUGUGGGCCCCUGUCUCAGCAUUGACAUAAGAGACACUGUGAUUUACUGUGAAAUGCCUGUAUCCCAGCUGCGGCAGAGCAUUUCGAUAGGCUCGCCACUCAUCACUGAUGACACAUGAGCCCCUUUUGACAUGAUGAGCUAUGAGUGGCACCAGUUCCCUCCUCCCCCUCUUCUCCACCAAGCGAAGCACCGGCUUCCCUGACGUCUUUGAGGGGGCUGCCCUGGCUGUCUUUGUCCUGGCCACCUCCAAGUUCUUUGCACCCCCAGCAUCCCGAACACCCACUUCCUCCGCUUCCAGCCCCCCAGCCAUCCUGCCCCUUCCAUACUAUGUUUUGGGAAAAAUGACAGAACAAGAAACAAGAGGUUAUUAACAUUGUGUCCAAUAAAUUAAUAAUGAUAGCGGGAAUAGGGGGAACUUCAUUUUCAUUAAAGGUGCAAUAUGUAGUUUUACAAUUGAGAGGACGAUCAACGAUGGGUUUUUUUCUUGAUGAUGCUUGCUGAUGUUAUUAUACACAUACACACAUGCUGCUACAGCUGUGCAGCGCCACAUCCAUUGUGCUUUGGCUCAGCUGAUCGGCGCUCAGACGGAGGUUAGAUCUUGCAGUUUUGAACUCUUUUUAUACACACAAAGUACAGCCAAAUACCAGGCUAAAAAAUACAGUAUAGAUCUCCACAUGUGGACGGUUGACCAGAGCAUGUGAGGGAAGUGAAGCAGGUCAGAAUUUCCUUGCUCCUUGCUCACAGACCUGUCCAAAAAAAAGCAGCGUUGUACACUUAAACCCAAACCUGGCAUCGUCAGAGUCCAGUAUGAGUUUUGUUUCGGGUCUCUUCCCUCCCACAAUUUGAAUUAUAAUUGAAUCAAUUACAUACUUUUCUAUAACAUGCAGAUCCAGCUAGAAAACAAAGUGCUUGUGGGUCUGGCAUGGAUGGCCCCGGAGCGAAAUUGGAGUGGGAUAGAGCAGGAGUGCUGGUCCAACUUUUAAAAUAAAAAUCCUCAACCUGCUCCCCGCUGGAGACCGCAUACGUGCACUGCGCCCAACUUUUACUGUUGCACUUGUAUUUGGUGCCUCUUGCAACUUCAAUUGGUAAAUGUCUUUGACAUAACAUCUAAACUCUUCUUUCUAAACAUAUUUCUGAUAAUUGUAAAUGAUUUUGUAAUGUUUUACCCCAAAAUUCUGAUCAAAUUUUACAUAUUGAAUCUUUAAUUAUUAUUGAAUAUACUACACAUUUAUUUUUCCACAUUGGUGAUGUGGUUAUAAUAAGUCUCGUUUCCAGACUCUAAUAUUUCAAAUUGAUUGUCUGGGGAAGUUCCGCCUCAAUUUUGUAAAAAUAAGUGGGUGCCUGGGUGGAAACGUUUUGUGAGUUUUAAAAAUACAGUUUUGCAAAACCAACCAACAGUGUUUUAGGGUGGACCAUAGGGUAGAGCCAUUCAAUUAGUUUGAGGUGUUUCUUUGUGGGGGUUUUUUGCCUUCUGUCAGCUCUCUCAACUUGGUUGCUAACUUUAACCCACGCAUGUUGUGCUCCUAAAAUGAACCGUGCAGCUAUGGAUAUAAUGUUGGGCUAUCCUGUUAAAAGUACUGUCCGUCCUGCCAGAAAACUCUACUCCUACAAGGCAAGCAGUUCGACUUGUUCCCCGCGAUAACUCCUGAGUUCCGGUGCGCGCUAAUGCUGCGUUCAUGAAAACUCGGAACUCUGGAUUUCCGCAUUGAAAACUCCCAUUUCUGUCUUCAAAGCGUUCCAGACAUUGUUGUGUGAUGUCAGACAACUGAUUCUCCAAGAAGUCUCUGAAUUUCCCGAGUGGGAGCACCAACAUUUGGUCGGUGCAUUUUUUAAAGUAGGAGGUCAGAAAAGCCUGAGUUCCGAGUUGGCUUGUACCCAUCAUAACUUUUUCUUCGCGUGCACUGACCGCUCAGACGCAGCAUCCAGGGUGAAGAAGGACGACGUGUCUCAAGAUGGAUGAGCUUGACAUCUAGCCUCCUCACAGGACCAGGCUAAACACAGAGAAGAAAAAAGCAGAAAAAGGAAAUUCUUCUGGAAAACAUGGUGAUAAGACUACAGAGGCCCCAACUGCCAAAGCUGCCAUGGACACCCUGAGAAAGUAGAGGGACAAGUGGAAAGCACGUGCUGAGUUCCUGGAGGAAAAACUUUGAGAUGUCACAUCAGAACGUGAUAUUUGCAGGACUCAGCUCUCUGAUGCUUUGGCAAGUCUCAAGGGUGCUCAACAGUCCAGAAGAGAAGACAGUGAUGAUGAAGCGAUGGGGCAUCUGAGAUGCAGCAUGACAGUGAAGACGACAGUGAGGACGACUCUGAAUCCAGCUCUGAUUCGUCAGAGAGUUCUGAUUCAUCGCCGGACAGAAAGAGGAAGAAGAAGGGGAAAGGGAAGAGAAAGAAGAGUGGGAAGAAGAGAAAGAAUAAGAAGGAGAAAAAGGCGAAGAAA